AUUGAACGCUGGCGGCAGGCCUAACACAUGCAAGUCGAGCGAGCGGCGGACAGGGGAGUAAUGUAUGGGGACUGCCCGAAAGAGGGGGAUAACUCCUGGAAACGGUGGCUAAUACCGCAUACUCUCUGUUAACCCAUAUGGGAUUCUCUCGUACGUGGGGUAAAGGCUCACCUAGUCGACGAUCUCUCGCUGGUCUGAGAGGAUGAUUAGUCACACUGGGAAUGAGAGACGGUCCAGACUCCUACGGAGGCAGCAGUGGGGAAUAUUGCACAAUGGGCGGAAGCCGGAUGCAGACAUGCCGGGUGUAUGAAGAAGGCCUGAGGGUUGUAAAGUACUUUCAGCGGGGAGGCGUUACCCGCAUAAGAAGCACCGGCUAAUUCCGUGCCAGCAGCCGCGGUAAUUC
rnacentral:rRNA from 1 species